CCACCAUUUAAGACACUUGUUUAUAGCCUCCCAUCUUUGAAAUUUCUCUCUUUAUAUUAUUACAACUUUCUCAGAACUCAUAUCCAAAAGCUCUCUGACUUUCUCAGCAUCCAAACAUGGCCAAGGAAGGAGAAGCUACCAGCAAAACCAUCCCAUUUGAAGAAGGAUGGCCAGUGCUACAAGAUGCAAUCAACAAACUCAUUGACAGUUUGGAAGGAGUUUGUUCCCACACUUUCACUCCUGAAGAGUAUAUGACUCUUUACACGUACUACCAUCUUUAAGGGAAAAGAAAGAUGAGAAUUUGUUACAAGAACUAGCAAAAAGAUGGAAUAACACAAGGUUAUGACUCACUGGCUCUCAAGAUUUUUAAAAUUUUUUGAUAGAUACCUCACCGCAAUCAAAAGACUACCCAAACUGCUAGAGACUAGCUUCAUGACCUUCUAUGAACUGGUUGGUUUACGGGGAAAUGAAUGAUCAAGUGAGGGAUGUUGUAACAUCUAUGGUAUGUUUUGUUUCAUAAUAUUUUGAAAUGAAUGUAAUUGUAUCCUCAUUGUAGUUAACAAGGCUAAUUGUCAUCUUUUUCUUUUCUUUUUUUC